rnacentral:sRNA from 1 species
AAAUGAAGACCUGACCCUAAAAGAGAUAUAAUGUGUUUCAGGCACCUCUCGGGUGGCACCUGGCACAACAGUUUCCCCUGGAAGUUUCAGCACAGCCACAAUUUCCCCUGGAGCAAGUAGAACGACUGGGGCUGGACCUGCUGCAGAAACCACAACUUCCCUAGAAGGAGGUGGCACCACUGGAGCAGAAAUGAAAUCAGGAGCCACCUCCAGAGUACCGGGAAGUAACACAGGCACAGCUGGAGUGCCCUCUGCUACAACAAUUGCCCCUGGGAGCUCCAACUCAGAGGCCACGACUUCUUUAGGAGAAAGUGGAAAAACAAGAGCUGAAACAAUCACAGGUACUACUGAGGGUAAAACUCUGGCAGCUGGAAGUGCCCACACAGAGGCCACAACUUUCUCAGGAGGCAGUGGGACCACCCGAGCAGGACCACCGGGCGGCACUUCUGGCACAUCAGGAGGAUAUGUCCCUGGAAGGGAAACAGAGCCCACAACUUCCAUUGAAGAAACUGGAACUUCCAGAACUAUAUUCAAAACUGUAGGCAU